GUAGUGAUCUGUCCCUAUAGUCUAUACCCAGUAGUGAUCUGUCCCUAUAGUCUAUACCCAGUAGUGAUCUGUCCCUAUAGUCUAUACCCAGUCCCUUUACCCAGUAGUGAUCUGUCCCUAUAGACUAUACCCAGUCCCUUUACCCAGUAGUGAUCUGUCCCUAUAGUCAAUACCCAGUAGUGAUCUGUCCCUAUAGUCUCUACCCAGUCCCUUUACCCAGUAGUGAUCUGUCCCUAUUGUCUAUACCCAGUCCCUUUACCCAGUAGUGAUCUGUCCCUAUAGUCUAUACCCAGUAGUGAUCUGUCCCUAUAGUCUAUACCGAGUUCCUUUACCCAGUAGUGAUCUGUCCCUAUAGUCUAUACCCAGUCCCUUUACCCAGUAGUGAUCUGUCCCUAUAGUCUAUACCCAGUAGUGAUCUGCCCCUAUAGUCUAUACCCAGUUGUGAUCUGUCCCUAUAGUCUAUACCCAGUAGUGAUCUGUCCCUAUAGUCUAUACCCAGUCCCUUUACCCAGUAGUGAUCUGUACCUAUAGUCUAUACCCAGUAGUGAUCUGUCCCUAUAGUCUAUACCCAGUAGUGAUCUGCCCCUAUAGUCUAUACCCAGACCCUUUACCCAGUAGUGAUCUGCCCCUAUAGUCUAUACCCAGUAGUGAUCUGUCCCUAUAGUCUAUACCCAGUAUUUAUCUGUCCCUAUAGUCUAUACCCAGUAGUGAUCUGCCCCUAUAGUCUAUACCCAGUAGUGAUCUGCCCCUAUAGUCUAUACCCAGUAGUGAUCUGUCCCUAUAGUCUAUACCCAGUAGUGAUCUGUCCCUAUAGUCUAUACCCAGUUCCUUUACCCAGUAGUGAUCUGCCCCUAUAGUCUAUAUCCAGUAGUGAUCUGUCCCUAUAGUCUAUACCCAGUAGUGAUCUGUCCCUAUAGUCUAUACCCAGUAGUGAUCUGUCCCUAUAGUCUAUACCCAGUAGUGAUCUGUCCCUAUAGUCUAUACCCAGUCCCUUUACCCAGAAGUGAUCUGUCCCUAUAGUCUGUACCCAGUAGUGAUCUGUCCCUAUAGUCUCUACCCAGUCCCUUUACCCAGUAGUGAUCUGUCCCUAUAGUCUAUACCCAGUAGUGAUCUGUCCCUAUAGUCUAUACCCAGUCCCUUUACCCAGUAGUGAUCUGUCCCUAUAGUCUAUACCCAGUAGUGAUCUGUCCCUAUAGUCUAUACCCAGUAGUGAUCUGUCCCUAUAGUCUAUACCCAGUAGUGAUCUGUCCCUGUAGUCUAUACCCAGUCCCUUUACCCAGUAGUGAUCUGUCCCUAUAGUCUAUACCCAGUAGUGAUCUGUCCCUAUAGUCUCUACCCAGUCCCUUUACCCAGUAGUGAUCUGCCCCUAUAGUCUAUACCCAGUAGUGAUCUGUCCCUAUAGUCUAUACCCAGUAGUGAUCUGUCCCUAUAGUCUAUACCCAGCAGUGAUCUGCCCCUAUAGUCUAUACCCAGUCCCUUUACCCAGUAGUGAUCUGCCCCUAUAGUCUAUUCUCAUUAGUGAUCUGUCCCUAUAGUCUAUACCCAGUAGUGAUCUGUCCCUAUAGUCUAUACCCAGUAGUGAUCUGUCCCUGUAGUCUCUACCCAGUAGUGAUCUGUCCCUAUAGUCUAUACCCAGUCCCUUUACCCAGUAGUGAUCUGUCCCUAUAGUCUAUACCCAGUAGUGAUCUGUCCCUAUAGUCUCUACCCAGUAGUGAUCUGUCCCUAUAGUCUAUACCCAGUAGUGAUCUGUCCCUAUAGUCUAUACCCAGUAGUGAUCUGUCCCUAUAGUCUAUACCCAGUAGUGCUCUGCCCCUAUAGUCUAUACCCAGUAGUGAUCUGUCCCUAUAGUCUUUACCCAGUCCCUUUACCCAGUAGUGUUCUGUCCCUAUAGUCUAUACCCAGUAGUGAUCUGUCCCUAUAGUCUAUACCCACUAGUGACCUGUCCCUAUAGUCUCUACCCAGUAGUGAUCUGUCCCUAUAGUCUAUACCCAGUCCCUUUACCCUGUAGUGAUCUGUCCCUAUAGUCUCUACCCAUUAGUGAUCUGUCCCUAUAGUCUAUACCCAGUAGUGAUCUGUCCCUAUAGUCUAUACCCAGUAGUGAUCUGUCCCUAUAGUCUAUACCCAGUCCCUUUACCCAGUAGUGAUCUGUCCCUAUAGUCUAUACCCAGUCCCUUUACCCAGUAGUGGUCUGUCCCUAUAGUCUAUACCCAGUAUCUAUACCCAGUAGUGAUCUGUCCCUAUAGUCUAUGUGAUCUGUCCCUAUAGUCUAUACCCAGUAGUGAUCUGUCCCUAUAGUCUAUACCCAGUAGUGAUCUGUUCCUAUAGUCUCUACCCAGUAGUGAUCUGUCCCUAUAGUCUCUACCCAGUAGUGAUCUGUCCCUAUAGUCUAUACCCAGUAGUGAUCUGUCCCUAUAGUCUAUACCCAGUAGUGAUCUGCCCCUAUAGUCUAUACCCAGUAGUGAUCUGUCCCUAUAGUCUUUACCCAGUCCCUUUACCCAGUAGUGAUCUGUCCCUAUAGUCUAUACCCAGUAGUGAUCUGUCCCUAUAGUCUAUACCCAGUAGUGACCUGUCCCUAUAGUAUAUACCCAGUAGUGAUCUGUCCCUAUAGUCUAUACCCAGUCCCUUUACCCAGUAGUGAUCUGUCCCUAUAGUCUAUACCCAGUUCCUUUACCCAGUAGUGAUCUGUCCCUAUAGUCUCUACCCAGUAGUGAUCUGUCCCUAUAGUCUAUACCCAGUAGUGAUCUGUCCCUAUAGUCUAUACCCAGUAGUGAUCUGUCCCUAUAGUGUAUACCCAGUCCCUUUACCCAGUAGUGAUCUGUCCCUAUAGUCUAUACCCAGUCCCUUUACCCAGUAGUGAUCUGUCCCUAUAGUCUAUACCCAGUAGUGAUCUGCCCCUAUAGUCUAUACCCAGUAGUGAUCUGUCCCUAUAGUCUAUACCCAGUAGUGAUCUGUCCCUAUAGUCUAUACCCAGUAGUGAUCUUUCCCUAUAGUCUUUACCCAGUAGUGAUCUGUCCCUAUAGUCUAUAGCCAGUAGUCAUCUGUCCCUAUAGUCUAUACCCAGUAGUGAUCUGUCCCUAUAGUCUAUACCCAGUAGUGAUCUGUCCCUAUAGUCUAUACCCAGUAGUGAUCUGUCCCUAUAGUCUAUACCCAGUAGUGAUCUGUCCCUAUAGUCUAUACCCAGUAGUGAUCUGCCCCUAUAGUCUAUACCCAGUAGUGAUCUGUCCCUAUAGUCUAUACCCAGUAGUGAUCUGUCCCUAUAGUCUAUACCCAGUAGUGAUCUUUCCCUAUAGUCUUUACCCAGUAGUGAUCUGUCCCUAUAGUCUAUAGCCAGUAGUCA
rnacentral:lncRNA from 1 species